CCUACGGGGGGCUGCAGUGAGGAAUAUUGGUCAAUGGCCGGAAGGCUGAACCAGCCAUGCCGCGUGAAGGUCAGUGCCCUAUGGGCGUUAAACUUCUUUUGUGCGGGAGCAAUAAUGGUCACGUGUGGCCAGACGAGAGUACCGUACGAAUACGCAUCGGCUAACUCAGUGCCAGCAGCCGCGGUAAUACGGGGGAUGCAAGCGUUAUCGGGAUUGAUUGGGGUAAAGGGGUGCGUAGGCUGUGAGGUAAGUCAGCGGUAAAAUUGAGGGGCUAAACCUCUUCGAGCCGUUGAAACUGGUUUUCUUGAGUGAGCGAGAAGUAUGCGGAAUGUAUGGUGUAGCGGUGAAAUGCUUAGAGAUCAUACAGAACACCGAUUGCGAAGGCAGCUUACUAAACUGUGACUGACAUUGAUGCUCGAAAGUGUGGGUAUCAAACAGGAUUAGAUACCCUGGUAGUC
rnacentral:rRNA from 1 species